UGUGAGUUUUUGUUAUUAAAACCUUUUUUCACUUACCAUCACGCUGCCUGCUCAUCUGCAUUCUGAGGUCCAAUUCCAACUAAACGGUGACAGAACCGUGACAAAGAGCAAAUCUUUUUAAGUUCAUCCACACAACAAAAAUUUAUCUUGUUAUCUUUACUGCGUUUCAUUCGGUAUUUUAAAACACCAAAUACUACCCAUAAGUCAUCAGGGUCCCGAGCGCCAACGGACCAGCGGUGAAUUGUAGUAGAGGUGAUUUUGAGCGAGCAAAGGUCAUUAAGGUGAUUCAGAGAUCUUCACAAGUACACUGGAUAAAGACUCAAUAUGUCUGCUAGACUUCGUGUCAUACUGAAAGAAAACAUUUGCAAACUUUCCUUGCCAUCUGCAAUUCCCCAAACUGUGGACGAAUUAAAGACUAUUGUUCAAGAAACAUUUGAUAUUGAGCAAGAUUUUAGUUUGCAGUUCCAGGACCAAGAUUUUGAUGGACAGUUUUUCACCCCCUUUCAAACUAGCGAAAUACAGGACAAAGACACCAUUAAAGUGGUUUUUGUGGAACCAGAGAUAAUUUUAACCCUUCAGGAUUCUCUGAAUGUCAAAGUCCAAGAUAGCUUUAGUAGCAGUUGUGCUGAUUCGUCAGAGGAUACCGGUUCUUGUUCUGCCGCAUCCAGUGAUACCAUUAUUCUACGUUCUCCAGGAAGUGCCUCUUCCCUUCGUUCUGAAUCUUGGCCUGUUCAGUUUGAGGUACCUACCUUCUCGCUUGACACGGAGCUCAUUCUACAAGCUGCUAAUGAAGCUUAUAAGAAGGAUGGAACCCUUCUCAAUAAUCCAGCUGUAAAGUCCAACAUUCUGGACUUGCACAGACCAUCUUUACCUACACUGCCUAUCCUUCUCAGGCACAAAGGGAGCAGGUUGCAGAGGCCUUGGUUAUGACGCACCCAUGUUUGAGAGACCCAGUGUCCUUCAAUGGUUUAUAUAGUUGGCACAACAGCUUGAAGUACAAACUUGGGAAUUACAGAGCAAAAGUAAAACACCUUGGAUACCAGAACUAAAUGUAAACUGUCUUAAGAGAAAAUCAACUGCAGAUAAAAGUCCAGCAAAAAAUCUAAAAAAGGCAAAGUAAUCUGAGGUAAACUACCUCCCACCUCAUCCUCAAGGUGAAACUGACACAACCCUUGAAAAAGAGAGAGUGGAUCGUCUUUAUGAGCACAAGAAGAGAGAUAACAACAAGUUAAUCAGUGAGAAGAUGGCAAAAACAUUCUCGAUACGUUGAAGUGAUGUUAUCCUCAACAAACUACCAUUGAUUGACAUCAACCGCGAUGGCUUGCCCUCUUUGAGCCUUCCCAUAUUGAGGAGGAAUUUCUGAGAAUCACGCUGAAACCGUUGCUGUCCACAUUCCUUGGGGAAGUUGGAUCAAUUCUCACCCAAACUAUUGAGCCUAUACUGGAGGAAGGGAGGCACUGUGGGGAAGAAACUUGAAAUGUUAGAUGAGGACAACAGCAUUGAGUCUUGAAGAAAAGCUGUAAUCAGAGGCCUUAUUCUCUACCUUGGAGAAAAGAUUGAGGAUUUAAUCAAGGACUACCAGAUAUAUGGUGAUGAUGAUGCUGCAGCUGUCCAGGAUGCCUUACGACAUUGGUCCUCAGUAUCUUUGUGGUCGGAAAAGCUGGGAGCGAAGGGCAGAGGCAAGUUGGGAUAGCCAUUGAGGGAACUGAGGUACUUUUUGGGGUUCCCAAUGUGGCACUUGCAUGUGCUUACCUUAUGGGCCUCAUCUAUGCUUUGGAACUAAACUACCCUAAGAAACUGAAGUACACCUUCGAAGUCUUUCAAAAGAUCUUCCUUGAGCAGGAAGAUGGGAACAAAAGAAUGUCCUCAAAGGUUCAUGACCUUAUGGUCAUUCUCCAUGCCUAAAAUCCACACAUACUUCAUUAAAGGUUGAGACUUUGAGUGAACUCUGUAUUUUUCUUUUUUAUGCUGCACUUUCUUAGGUUACACUGUUAAGUGUGACUUUGUGAUGCUAUUGUACAUUGCAUUUAUUUAUUUGGGUUUUGUUUGUUUGUUUUUUCAGAAAUUAUCAUUAUUUUGCACUUUAAAUGGCUCUGGUUAACUCAAGUGAAUUAACUUGUCACUCCUUUAUUAGAACCUGUUUUUCUGUUAGGUUCUAAGUGUGUUGUCUUAGUUUUUUCUCUUCCUAGAAG